UCCCUCUCAUACAGCCGCCGUCGUUCCAAGGAGUAACCAACCAUUCCCGAGUUGUCUGAAGAUAGGUGUACUACUAGUGUUUGGUUUGCGUUCGCUUUUGCGGUGACGGAUAUUAUAUUUCAAGGAUUGCCGCUGUUUUCCCUACCGUUUAAUUAUUUGCAAGAAAGAACCACAGAGAUCAUUCUACCGCAGAUAGGUUCAUAAGCCUCAACAGGUAAGUGGUUUUAAGCUGUGGUGCUGUUGGAGAUUCAUUUAAUUCGUUAUGUAAAAUUCAUAUACUGCAUACAUAGGUAAGGUUUUCACUAUUGCUUUCUUCCGGUACAAUAUAAAUAGUCACAUUGUUUACCAUUGGUGGCUACCUGUUGAGAUGUUUAUUAUUGGUGGCUACCUAUUGAAAUGUUUAUUAUUGGUGGCUACCUGUUGAGAUGUUUAUUAUUAGUGGUUACAUGAUGAGAUGUUUAUUGUUGGUGGUUUCCUGUCGAGAUGUUUAUUAUUGGUGGUUACAUGUUGAGAUAUUUAUUAUUGGUGGUUACCAGUUGUGAUUUGUGUAGUUUGUAUUGGUGUUGAUUAUUAUUAAGGUUUGAGAGUUUAUUAAUGCAGGUCUUAUCUUACAACCAAUAUAUUUUCCAAAAUGUGACAUUGUGAUGACCAUUUUAUAUUUUAAAAGCGCUAUUAUUUAUUUUCACCACCCAUACUUCCAUGUGUUUUUUAUACAAAGAUUUCAUGGCAAAUGAUGUUGAUCUAUAUUUGUUAUAAACAUUACAACUUCUUUGUGAAGGUAACCGAUUUAGGGAUUAUUGAAAAAAUAGUUCGCUCCAACAGCACUCAGUGUAAAACUAAAGGUAUCCAGAACGGCUGUAAGUUCAUAGUUUUUUGUUGUUUUCGCCGUUGUUUUUAAAUACAUAAAUAAAAAUUGCUUAAACUACGAUUUUAUAUUUUAGGUAACUUAAAUUGUUGAUUAAAUCAAGCUAGAGUUCAUCAUAAAGACUAAAACUUCGUUGCAAAGUUUUCGGAUUCUCGUGUUUCAAAAGAAAUCUGUCGGAUAUCGAUGUUGAAUUGAGUUUUUCGAUGAUUCUCAAUAAUUGUCAUACGUUAACAAAAACAGUUGUCAUUUCCUUUCGUUCAACAGCAUAAUCUUGUUAAUUUUUUCACCUUUUUAAUGCUAUUUAUAUUUUCGGUUAUUAUCCUUGACAUGACAUGUCUCUGCUCACUAACGGUAAAAUUAUGAUACAUUAUUAGAAGUUACUAGAAGCGUUUGAUAAUACUCACAGUUAUCGUAAAGUAGAGGCUACUUAUUUGCUGACAUUAAUACGAUAUUAGGAAUGAGAUGAUGCUGAUAAAAGUUUGACUUGAACACCAAAAUGGUCUUACUAAGUGUUUUAUAGAAGUAAUUCUUUGAUAUCGGCAACAUUAAGUAGAUGACUUUCAAAACGAAGAUUAUUCAUGACCAAAGUGCUUGGUUUUACAUUACUUAUAUUUUUAUGUUUGCUUAUUAAAAUAAUACAGGCCGUUCUGGAUAGCUUCUUAUCUUCAGUGUCAGCUUUAAGGAUCCCGAAAGGUAUGGAAAAAAAUUUUUCUCCACAAUUUGAUGUUCAAC